CAAGCAAAACAUAAACACUGGCAUCCAAAGGUACAACACCGAGGGAGUGCGUGGACUUGCUUUAGAAGCAAAUCUCGAGUUUGUGUUGUUGAUUUCUACAAACGUGUGUUUCAUCUCUACUUGAAAAUGGAAGGAAUGCUGGACCACCCGACAAGUGCCUAACCAAGUAACUCAUAAGAAUGGUGACUUAUUUAUUGAUAAAUUAAUAUGUUAUUUCAAAUAUAUAAAUUUAAAGUUAACAUAUAUUUUGUGGGGGGAAAAAGUCAUCAAAAGUCUCCAAAAUGUAAAAAUAACAUUUACUGACGGUAUAUAUUAUCUUGCUAUUUACCACUGAUAAUACAAGGGUUUAUAUUUACAACCUUCUUUGUCGCAUCGUUAGAACAUUAUGGAAAUUAACAAAAAGAUUUAAGGAAUGUAAAACUUUUAAUACAUUUUUUAAAAUGUUUUAAAUUUAAUUGCAUGGCAAUUCAUUCCAAACGAUUUCAAAAUAAAGUCUUGUUAUAACAA